rnacentral:sRNA from 1 species
AAUCAAGAGAGCUCGGCAUUAAGGCAGAGAGGAGAAAAAGGAAAGGAGGCCAAAAAAGCUGACUCUGAAAGGUUACAAGCAAUAUUGGUGCACCUUCAAAGACACAUCCAUUUCUUGUUAUAAGAGCAAAGAAGAAUCCAGUGGCACACCAGCUCAUCAGAUGAACCUCAGGGGAUGUGAAGUUACCCCAGAUGUAAACAUUUCAGGCCAAAAAUUUAACAUUAAACUCCUGAUUCCAGUUGCAGAAGGCAUGAAUGAAAUCUGGCUUCGUUGUGACAAUGAAAAACAGUAUGCACACUGGAUGGCAGCCUGCAGAUUAGCCUCCAAAGGCAAGACCAUGGCGGACAGUUCUUACAACUUAGAAGUUCAGAAUAUUCUUUCCUUUCUGAAGAUGCAGCAUUUAAACCCAGAUCCUCAGUUAAUACCAGAGCAGAUCACGACUGAUAUAACUCCUGAAUGUUUGGUGUCUCCCCGCUAUCUAAAAAAGUAUAAGAACAAGCAGCCAGGCUAUAUAAGAGAUUUGAUAACAGCGAGAAUCUUGGAGGCCCAUCAGAAUGUAGCUCAGAUGAGUCUAAUUGAAGCCAAGAUGAGAUUUAUUCAAGCUUGGCAGUCAUUACCUGAAUUUGGCAUCACUCACUUCAUUGCAAGGUUCCAAGGGGGCAAAAAAGAAGAACUUAUUGGAAUUGCAUACAACAGACUGAUUCGGAUGGAUGCCAGCACUGGAGAUGCAAUUAAAACAUGGCGUUUCAGCAACAUGAAACAGUGGAAUGUCAACUGGGAAAUCAAAAUG